UACGUAGGGUACAAGCGUUAAUCGGAAUUACUGGGCGUAAAGCGUGCGCAGGCGGCUUUGCAAGACAGAUGUGAAAUCCCCGGGCUCAACCUGGGAACUGCAUUUGUGACUGCAAGGCUAGAGUACGGCAGAGGGGGAUGGAAUUCCGCGUGUAGCAGUGAAAUGCGUAGAUAUGCGGAGGAACACCGAUGGCGAAGGCAAUCCCCUGGGCCUGUACUGACGCUCAUGCACGAAAGCGUGGGGAGCAAACAGG
rnacentral:rRNA from 1 species